CCGGAGCAGGGCUCUUCUGCUGCGCUGCGCUGCGCUGUUUUUGACUUUUUGAGGAGGUUAGUACCUCACUCACAGGCUCUGGGUUCCUUGCGGCCUCAUGCUUGCGCUUGCUUGAAUGCCAGUACGUUAGGUUACUAGAAUAGGCGGUUGGCUGCUGCGCUACAGAUCUCACCGGAAGGGUCUUUUCCUUUGCUUGCGAAAGAACUUAUAGUAACUGGAUGGUUGGUUGACAGGUGUCUGGCUAGCAAAGAACCCGACAAAAACUAGUACAGUAGCGCCCUAGGCUAUUUGAUAUAGUAUAGCCGCAGAGACUACUUGCAUUAGGGUAAAGCCCCCUUUAUGAGUAAGCCCCUUUAGAGAUAGGAAAACGGCCUAGCUGCUUUAUUGAGAUAUUUUGGCACCAUUGAGAAUUCUUUAAAUAAUUAACUGCUAUUUCAGUGGUUGAAGUGCCGGUCGGCAUUGCCUAAGUAAGGUCCGGCUCUUGCGCGCUUCUCUCCAUCCGUUGAGUCGGUGGAAGGCUACUUGACCUAUUUUUUUAUGAUUUUGAUGGCAGCUUCGCUCCAGAAAGUACCGCUAGACAGAAAGAUAAAUGGAUAACCUUCGCACUUGGUAUUCCACAUUAGUAGUGUCAUCGGGAGAAGCUCCUGCUUUGAUGCUGGCCAACUGGGAGUAGGUUCCGGCUGCUCUUUCUGUGAUGCUAUUUCGACCUCGUAAAGAUAUUAGGACUUUCACACUGACAUUGAGACAGAAAACAUUCGAUCAGUUUCCCAGCGUGACACGCUAUGAUCACCGUCAAAGACAGGAUUCGAGGCCUUUGUCCCCAUUGCUUGUUAGUUAAGUAGGGAGAGCCCCAUCUCUUGAUUACGAAGAUCACUUUCACAGCAAGCACGAAUGCGCG